rnacentral:lncRNA from 1 species
AACUUACUAACUGGAUUUCUUUUAGUCACGCCCCAGAACUCCGUUUUAGGCCUUCCACAUAUGAAAAUCAUCAGGCUGAGUUGUUUAAGCUGCGCCAAACCUCCACAGUUGCGGAAUAUCAAAAGCGGUUUGAGAAAAUUUGCAACAGAGUGAUGGGUUUACAACCCAAGAUGAUCCUUUAUUGUUUCUUAUCUAGCCUAAUCCCAAAAAUUCGAAGAGAAAUAGCAGUUUUGCAACCCACUUCCAUCACCCAGGCCAUGGGCCUAGCCAAGCUUUUAGAAUCUAAAAUCCAAGAUUCUAAAUGAUCUUUUCGUUUUUCCGAUACCUUACCCCCAACCAUCCAAUCAUUUAUUACCCUCACCUCGUCCCUCUCCCUCUCCCGCUACAACAUCCCAUGCAACCCCUUCCAUACCUAUCAAAAAACUCACCUCAACCCAACUCCAAGUGUGUAGAGCCGCUGGUUUGUGUUAUAACUGUGAUGAAUUUUUUUUUCCAGGGCAUAAGUGCACCACCCAUCGUUUUCUUCUUUUACUAAGUGACGAUUGUCCUGAAGAAAACAUUAUGGAAGACUAUCCUACCACAUUCAACGACCAACCCACAGACACACCUACACACAUUCACCUCUUCUUCCAAGCCUUGUGUGGAGCUCCCUCAACCCACACUUUUACCUUUGAUGGCUACAUUGGCCAUAUUCCUGUUACCAUUCUCAUAGAUACAGGAAGUUCCAUAACAUUAUUCAACCUCGUUUGGCCCUUCACCUCCAACUUUGCACUGUUCCUAUCACCCAUUUCUCAGUUAUGGUUGGAAAUGGCAACAAAAUUCAGUGUUCCUCUUUUUGCCCUAAUGCUCCCAUUUCUAUACAUACCUACACCUUUUCCAUUUUUUUUUACCUCUUACCUAUCGAAGGAGCUGAUGUUGUCUUAGGAAUGGACUGGUUGCAUUCUUUGGGCCCCUUAAUGGCUGAUUUUUCUAAGCUGCAACUAUCUUUUACCCACAAUGGGUUACCCAUUACACUACACGAUACCACAAAUCUGCUACACAGUCAAGCUUCCUUCACUCAUCUUUGCCAUAUGUUACACAUAGAUGUCAUUUAUUCUCUACAUCUCCUCACUAUUGACCCACUGCCAUCACCAUCCAGCCCUCACAGAUAAUCCAAACCCUCAGCUAUAUCCCAUCUUUUACAAACAUAUAGUUCAGUUUUCUCUUCUCCCCAUGGACUACCUCCGCACAGACCCCACAAUCACCACAUCCCCCUUAUUCCACACUCUCCCCUAGUUAACAUUCAACCCUACCGCUACCCACAUGCUCACAAGCACACCAUGACCUCCCUCAUUCUCGAAAUGCUCAACGAAGGCAUUAUCCGCCCCAGCACAAGCCCCUUUUCUUCCCCAGUUAUCCUCAUAAAAAAGAAAGAUGGCACCUGGCGUUUUUGUGCAAAUUAUAAAGGCCUAAACGCCACUACUGUUAAAGACCGUUUUUCUAUUCCAACUAUUGAUGAAUUGUUGGAUGAAGUGACCACUGCCAAGGUUUUCACCAAACUUGACUUACGUUCAGGUUACCACCAGAUUCGAGUUAAUCCUACAAAUUGCCACAAAACUGCUUUUAGAACCUUUGAUUGCCAUUACGAGUUCUUAAUUAUGCCUUUCGGCCUUGCUAAUGCACCAUCUACCUUUCAGGCAGCCAUGAAUGAUUUACUCAAGCCCCAUCUACAACACUUUGUCCUAGUUUUUUUUUAUGACAUUCUCAUUUACAGCAAAUCCGUGAAAGAACACAUUCACCACCUCACUUUGAUCCUUCAAUUAUUAGACACUCAUAAAUUCUUUGUUAAUGAAUCAAAAUGUGUGUUUGCCACAACCAGAGUCUCAUACCUAGGCCAUCUUUUGGAAGAAGGCACAGUGGCUCCAGAUCCGGAUAAAAUCAAGGCUAUCAUACUUUGGCCUAAACCUACAUCCCUUACUACUCUACAUGCGUUUCUGGGUAUUACGGGAUUUUAUCGGAAGUUCAUUCGCGAUUAUGCCACUCUUGCCUCGCCACUCACGGAGUUACUCAAAUCAUCAAUGUUUACAUGGAAUACAAAUGCAGAGGAAGCCUUUACAAAAUUGAAAAAUAUCCUAACUACAGCUCCGGUGUUGAGUCUUCAGAAUUUUGCCAUACCGUUCGUGGUAGAAACCGACGCCUCCAGCAUAGCAAUUGGAGUUGUGUUAUCCCAAGAAGGUCACCCCAUUGCUUUCUUCGGCAAGAAACUUUGCCCAAAAAUGCAAGCUAGCUCGACAUAUGUCAAGGAAAUGCUAGCUAUAACAAAAGCUGUCAAAAAGUGGCGUCAUUAUCUCAUAGGUACACAUUUCACAGUAAUAACAGACCAACAAAGCUUAAAGGGGUUACUCACCAAUGCAUGCCACACACAGAACAACAAAAGGGGGCUACCAAGCUGCUUGGAUACAGUUUUGACAUCCAAUACCGCCCAAAGCCGCCAAUAUCAAGUUGUUGAUUUCUUGUCCUGGCCACCCCAAUCCCUCCUUUUGGCCAUAUCUUCUCCGAUUUCGAACAUGUUCAAGGAAUUACAAGAUUAUUACAAGACAAAAAGGGGAGAAGAAGAGGUUCACAGAUUAAUUUCAUUACCUGACACCAAUUACAGUUUUCACCACGACCUUCUAUACCAUGCUCAAAGAUUAUACGUUCCUUCCAUAUAGCACAUUCGUUCGGCCAUACUCCACAAGUUCCAUGCUUCUCCCACAGCCGGCCACUCGGGCAUUAAGGCCACCAUGGCCAGGCUCGCAACCUCCUUUUUCUGGCCUUGUAUGUACCGCGACACCAAAAGGUAUAUCAAGGAAUGCCUACCCCGCCAACAAAACAAAUCAUUACAUCAUAAACCUUUUGAACUACUCCAAUCCAUACCCAUACCAACCAAACUGUGGGAAGAACUAACUA